rnacentral:rRNA from 1 species
AUUGAACGCUGGCGGCAUGCUUUACACAUGCAAGUCGAACGGUAACAGGUUAAGCUGACGAGUGGCGAACGGGUGAGUAAUGCAUCGGAACGUGCCCGAUCGUGGGGGAUAACGCAGCGAAAGCUGCGCUAAUACCGCAUACGAUCUGAGGAUGAAAGCGGGGGACCGUAAGGCCUCGCGCGAUCGGAGCGGCCGAUGUCAGAUUAGGUAGUUGGUGGGGUAAAGGCCCACCAAGCCGACGAUCUGUAGCUGGUCUGAGAGGACGAUCAGCCACACUGGGACUGAGACACGGCCCAGACUCCUACGGGAGGCAGCAGUGGGGAAUUUUGGACAAUGGGCGAAAGCCUGAUCCGGCAAUGCCGCGUGCAGGAAGAAGGCCUUCGGGUUGUAAACUGCUUUUGUACGGAGCGAAAAGGUCCUUUCUAAUACAAGGGGCUCAUGACGGUACCGUAAGAAUAAGCACCGGCUAACUACGUGCCAGCAGCCGCCGUAACAC